AUUUAGGCCAUUGAAUUGGCUUAUUCUUACAUAUCUUAACCAAUGUAUAAAUGAUAGGAAGAUCACCCCUUUGACUCUUUCCAUUGGCUUCAAAAUCAUAUGAAGUAGUCACCUUGAGUUGAACUUUAUACCUACUAAAAAUAUUUCUUGCUUCAAUAGCAUCCAAUUUUUCUUUAUUAGCUCUUAUUAUUCCAAUAAUAUUGUAUCUACUAAAAAUAUCUUAUAGUAUAAAUCUACAUAUUGCUUCUAUGGUCUUGGUUCUUAAAGCUCUUCUUUCAAUAUUAUUUGAUAGCCUUUUUAUUGCCAAAAUCAAGUAUUUUAUAUCUGAAAGCCCAAAUGGAAUAGCUACCAAAUCAAUUAUCUAUUAAAAAUAUAAAGAAGGUAAAUAAGUAGGAUAUAAUCCAUCUCUAUAUUUAACCUUAGACUAUAGUUGUCACUUAGUGCAUAAGCUCAUAAAUCCUUUUAU
rnacentral:lncRNA from 1 species